rnacentral:rRNA from 1 species
GACGAUGAAGAGCUUGCUUUUCAAAGUUAGUGGCGGACGGGUGAGUAACGCGUGGGUAACCUGCCUCAUACAGGGGAAUAGCAGCUGGAAACGGCUGAUAAAACCGCAUAAGCGCACAGUGCCGCAUGGCACAGUGUGAAAAACUCCGGUGGUAUGAGAUGGACCCGCGUCUGAUUAGCUGGUUGGCGGGGUAACGGCCCACCAAGGCGACGAUCAGUAGCCGGCCUGAGAGGGUGAUCGGCCACAUUGGGACUGAGACACGGCCCAAACUCCUACGGGAGGCAGCAGUGGGGAAUAUUGCACAAUGGGGGAAACCCUGAUGCAGCGACGCCGCGUGAAGGAAGAAGUAUCUCGGUAUGUAAACUUCUAUCAGCAGGGAAGAUAAUGACGGUACCUGACUAAGAAGCCCCGGCUAACUACGUGCCAGCAGCCGCGGUAAUACGUAGGGGGCAAGCGUUAUCCGGAUUUACUGGGUGUAAAGGGAGCGUAGGCGGCGGAGCAAGUCAGAAGUGAAAGCCCGGGGCUCAACCCCGGGACGGCUUUUGAAACUGCCCUGCUUGAUUUCAGGAGAGGUAAGCGGAAUUCCUAGUGUAGCGGUGAAAUGCGUAGAUAUUA